rnacentral:rRNA from 1 species
CCUACGGGAGGCAGCAGUCUAGAAAUUUGCACAAUCGCCGAAAGGCGGAUGCAGCGACACCACGUGGAGGAUGACACCCCUCGGGGUGUAAACUCCUGUCAGAAGGGAAGAAGGCGCGGGCGUUAAUACCGCUCAUUGCUUGACGGUACCUUCAGAGGAAGCUCCGGCUAACUACGUGCCAGCAGCCGCGGUAAUACGUAGGGAGCGAGCGUUGUUCGGAUUUACUGGGCGUAAAGGGCACGUAGGCGGGUAUGCAAGUCGAUUGUGAAAUCCUCUGGCUCAACCAGAGAACUGCAGCCGAAACUGCACACCUUGAGUCCAGCAGAGGGAAUCGGAAUCCCAGGUGUAGCGGUGAAAUGCGUAGAUAUCUGGGAGAACAUCAGUGGCGAAGGCGGAUUCCUGGGCUGGUACUGACGCUGAGGUGCGAAAGCUAAGGGAGCGAACAGGAUUAGAUACCCUGGUAGUCUUAGCCGUAAACGAUGGGUACUAGGUGUUGGGGGACAUUGACCCCCUCAGUGCCGUAGCUAACGCAUUAAGUACCCCGCCUGGGGAGUACGGCCGCAAGGCUGAAACUCAAAUGAAUUGACGG